rnacentral:rRNA from 1 species
AUGAACGCUGGCGGCGUGCCUAAUACAUGCAAGUCGAGCGAACAGACGAGGAGCUUGCUCCUCUGACGUUAGCGGCGGACGGGUGAGUAACACGUGGAUAACCUACCUAUAAGACUGGGAUAACUUCGGGAAACCGGAGCUAAUACCGGAUAAUAUAUUGAACCGCAUGGUUCAAUAGUGAAAGACGGUUUUGCUGUCACUUAUAGAUGGAUCCGCGCCGCAUUAGCUAGUUGGUAAGGUAACGGCUUACCAAGGCAACGAUGCGUAGCCGACCUGAGAGGGUGAUCGGCCACACUGGAACUGAGACACGGUCCAGACUCCUACGGGAGGCAGCAGUAGGGAAUCUUCCACAAUGGGCGAAAGCCUGACGGAGCAACGCCGCGUGAGUGAUGAAGGUCUUCGGAUCGUAAAACUCUGUUAUUAGGGAAGAACAAAUGUGUAAGUAACUAUGCACGUCUUGACGGUACCUAAUCAGAAAGCCACGGCUAACUACGUG